rnacentral:misc_RNA from 1 species
UAGCCUCCUGAUUAUAUCAUCCAAUACUCCCUUAUCCAUCAUUCCCUCCAUUGUCAUCUUCAUCAUCUUUUAAUCUCCAAAUCAAAACCCAAAUCUCUAUAGGGAACAACGGAUUUAAGUUCUUCACUCGAGAAUAAAAAGAAAAGACAAGGAAUAUAAAAGGCUAUCUAUUGAUAGAGAGAAAAAUGAACGGCUGGAAACAAGCAAACCCAGAAUAAAUUAAGCAAUGAAACUGUGAAAUAAAGAGCCAAAUUGUACAGAAAGAAGUUAAAAGAAAGGUAUGUGGGUCAAAUAGAUUGAAAUAAAUCAAGAAAGAUCAAUUCUUUUAAGAGACAAGAGAAAGAAGAUCAGAUGGGCAUCUAGAAGAUGAAAAUAGAGAAGAGGGUAUGUAAAAAUCAAGAGAAAGAAGGAUUUUUUAAAUAGAAAAUGAAGAGAAGAGAAGGAAACAAUAAUGGAUAUGGCUUGUCAUUUUCCUUAUGAAUCUUUCUCUCUCUAAAAAAGCUAUUUUUUGUGCCACCGGCUGCCAAGAAGAUUCAAUAGGGAGUUUGAAACCUUCAGAUGCACGAGAGAGAGAGAGAGAGA